AUUCAUGUACUUAAGAACUGCACAAGAGGUGGCUUUGUCUCCAGAGGCUCACUAGUUAUUAGAGAGAGGAUAUAUGUAUACACACUGCAGGCUAUACACACAUCUGUGGAAGCCAUGCUCAGGAAUGAUAACAACAUAUAAAACACUCAAGUCUUCAUAUACCAUAAGUUAUGACUUCCGAUUAUUUAAAAUCGUGAGAAGAUAACUGGAUAAAGAGAAGUGUCUGGUUCUGCCGUGAGCCCAGUGGAAGGUGGAGGGGACCCUGCCAGGGCACUUCCCUGGGCACCAGCAGCACCUGGACCUUGCUGCUGGAGCCAGCUCUCCUGCCGCUCUCUCACAACCGUGCCCCAAAACAACUGAAUAGUGCCUGUGCCUGCUCCCCAGGAUGGGCAAGGAAAAAGCACCAAGACUGAAACAUGGCUAGGAUUUCACCAAUGUAUGUCUUCAUCGAGAUGAGCAAUCAAGAUCCAAAGUCAAUAAAGAACUUGCUGUUUUUUUCUUUGGACAUUACUGAGCUUUGGAUUUUGUGUAUGUCACCAGAAAAUUAAAUCAACAAAAGCAGUACAGCCUGCAUCAUGUUUUCACACUGUUAAGGAUAUAAAUGACCUCUCUGUAUGAGAAUCACAUGUUAAUACACUUUUUGGUAGUCUAAAUAUCUCCUUUUUUGUCUAAAGCAAAACCAAGUCAACUACAGCAACAGCAAGAAUGAAGUAAAUGAAAUUAAACUGUAAUGACAAUAUUGACCCGUUUGAGUAUUAUUAGAGAAAACCUCCUAGAUCAAUUAAAAAAACACACUUCAGUGCCCCAUACAAAAUGAGGAAAUCAGAUUAUGCCUUGCUCCCUUAAUCUAGCAUCCAAUCUACUUAAAUUUUUUCACUAUGAAAUUUUUCACUAUUUUUCUUCUCUAUCUACCUCUAUGCAAUUCCAACACUGCACUGCACUGGAUUCCUCUUGUCCUCUUAUUCAAGAAUGAAGUAUGCAUACUAGUUUUACAUGAAUAUGUAGAGAUGGCUUGACAAACCGUUUUGGGAUGAACACAGAUGCAGUGCAUAUAUCAUUGUUCUUUACGGUGGAAUUAAUGGUCAUGUCUUUAGAUUUGCUUUAUACAUCCCAAUCUCUGAUGGGAUUAAAUGCCAUUAGGUUUGUUUUCUUACAGCAGAAAUUCUACUUUAAUUAACAGAAAGGUCUGUGGUUGUAUUUCUCAGAGCUUCUCACCCCAGCAGGAUCUUCCUUCUGAAGCACUCAUCAUUUUCACCUGCCUUUCCUUUUCAAAGUUAGCAGCUGUGGUUCUUCUGUACUGAACACUAGUUGGGUACAAGAGCACUGAGGGGUGAGCAAUAACUGCAAUAGCUAGUGCUGAUACGUGGUGUCCAUAUGGACAGUAUAACUUAACAUUAAGACCAUUCUUUACUGAGUUUGAUCCUGGCCCCAUGAGUCAAACUCUAGCUGUCAGGGGACUUGUUGUAAGUAAUGGUCAUUUGUGUUUCAUAAUUAUCUUGAAUAAACACAAUUAGUUCCACAUUCUGCUGUUUUCUUCCUAAGGCAUCUGUAAACAUUCUGUACUAUUUUAGCAAAUGGCUUUUGGCGAUCAUUAAA